rnacentral:rRNA from 1 species
UACGUAGGGGGCUAGCGUUGUCCGGAAUCAUUGGGCGUAAAGAGCGUGUAGGCGGCCCGGUAAGUCCGCUGUGAAAGUCCAGGGCUCAACCCUCGAAUGCCGGUGGAUACUGUCGGGCUUGAGUACGGGAGAGGCGAGUGGAAUUCCUGGUGUAGCGGUGAAAUGCGCAGAUAUCAGGAGGAACACCGAUUGCGAAGGCAGCUCGCUGGAACGUUACUGACGCUGAGACGCGAAAGCGUGGGGAGCAAACAGG